UAUCGUAGUUCUAAGUCACCAAACUAUCAUAUAUUCAAAAUCCUGUAAAUGUUAAUAUAAAUUGUAUAGUAAAAACCUCACCUUAACUUGGUAAAAUCCUGUAAAUGUAAAUAUAGAUUGUAUAGUAAAAACCUCACCUUAACUUGGUUUUUUGACAGAGAAUAAUCAUUAUAAAGAAUAAAUUAAAGAAGAAAGCAAAUGAAUAUCUGAGCUGUGUUUAUUUUUUUCUUUCACUAUUAGUUUUCUGUUGGGCUUUUAAUGGAAGUCAACCACAUUGAACACCUCACUUUGCCUUUUCACCACCUAAAGCCUCUCUUUUCCUCUUUCUGCAAAAUCUCCUUUUAUUUUAUUCAGCUUGGAACUCAAGGUCCAUUUCUUGAAAGAAAGAUUUACUUUCAAAUCAGAAAUGAAAAAUUCAGUGAAACUUUUUG
rnacentral:lncRNA from 1 species